rnacentral:rRNA from 1 species
CAGGGAACUGAAACAUCUAAGUACCUGGAGGAAGAGAAAGAAAAAUCGAUUUCCUGAGUAGCGGCGAGCGAAACGGAAAGAGCCCAAACCAAGAAGCUUGCUUCUUGGGGUUGUAGGACACUCUAUAUGGAGUUACAAAAGAAAGUUAUAAAUGAAGCGGUCUGGAAAGGCCCGCCAAAGACGGUAACAGCCCGGUAGUUGAAAUGGCUUUCCCUCCAGAGUGGAUCCUGAGUACGGC